rnacentral:rRNA from 1 species
ACACAUGCAAGUCGAGCGGUAACAUUUCUAGCUUGCUAGAAGAUGACGAGCGGCGGACGGGUGAGUAAUACUUAGGAAUCUACCUAGUAGUGGGGGAUAGCACGGGGAAACUCGUAUUAAUACCGCAUACGACCUACGGGAGAAAGGGGGCAGUUUACUGCUCUCGCUAUUAGAUGAGCCUAAGUCGGAUUAGCUAGAUGGUGGGGUAAAGGCCUACCAUGGCGACGAUCUGUAGCUGGUCUGAGAGGAUGAUCAGCCACACCGGGACUGAGACACGGCCCGGACUCCUACGGGAGGCAGCAGUGGGGAAUAUUGGACAAUGGGGGAAACCCUGAUCCAGCCAUGCCGCGUGUGUGAAGAAGGCCUUUUGGUUGUAAAGCACUUUAAGCAGUGAAGAAGACUCCAUGGUUAAUACCCAUGGACGAUGACAUUAGCUGCAGAAUAAGCACCGGCUAACUCUGUGCCAGCAGCCGCGGUAAUACAGAGGGUGCAAGCGUUAAUCGGAAUUACUGGGCGUAAAGGGAGCGUAGGUGGCUCGAUAAGUCAGAUGUGAAAUCCCCGGGCUCAACCUGGGAACUGCAUCUGAUACUGUCGUGCUAGAGUAUGUGAGAGGAAGGUAGAAUUCCAGGUGUAGCGGUGAAAUGCGUAGAGAUCUGGAGGAAUACCGAUGGCGAAGGCAGCCUUCUGGCAUAAUACUGACACUGAGGCUCGAAAGCGUGGGUAGCAAACAGGAUUAGAUACCCUGGUAGUCCACGCCGUAAACGAUGUCUACUAGUCGUUGGGUCCCUUGAGGACUUAGUGACGCAGCUAACGCAAUAAGUAGACCGCCUGGGGAGUACGGCCGCAAGGUUAAAACUCAAAUGAAUUGACGG